AUGACGAGCUCCUCCACGCCGUCCCGCAAGGCGCUGAGCAAGAUCGCCUGCAACCGGCUGCAGAAGGAGCUCGCCGAGUGGCAGGUCGGCCCGCCCGCCGGCUUCAAGUACAAGGUCUCCGACAACCUCCAGAGAUGGGUGAUCGAGGUGGGCGGCGCCGAGGGCACGCUCUACGCCGGCGAGACGUACCAGCUGCAGGUCGACUUCCCCGAGCAUUACCCCAUGGAGGCACCUCAGGUCAUUUUCCUCAACCCGGCGCCGAUGCACCCGCACAUUUACAGCAACGGGCACAUCUGCUUAGAUAUACUGUAUGACUCGUGGUCGCCUGCGAUGACUGUAAGUUCAGUCUGUAUCAGCAUUUUGUCGAUGCUGUCUAGCUCGCCAGCAAAGCAACGCCCGGCGGACAAUGAUCGCUACGUUAGGAACUGCCGCAACGGGAGGUCGCCCAAGGAGACCCGAUGGUGGUUUCAUGACGACAAAGUAUGA
rnacentral:rRNA from 1 species